AUACGGAGGGUGCAAGCGUUGCUCGGAAUUACUGGGCGUAAAGCGCACGCAGGCGGUUUAUCAGGUCGGAUGUGAAAGCCCAGGGCUCAACCCUGGAACUGCAUUCGAAACCGGUAGACUUGAGUUCGAGAGAGGGUGGUGGAAUUCCUGGUGUAGAGGUGAAAUUCGUUGAUAUCAGGAGGAACACCGGUGGCGAAGGCGACCACCUGGCUCGAUACUGACGCUCAUGUGCGAAAGCGUGGGGAGCAAACAGGAUUAGAUACCCUGGUAGUCCACGCCGUAAACGUUGAAUGCUAGGUGUCGGGGGUUUCACCCCCUCGGUGCCGGAGUUAACGCAUUAAGCAUUCCGCCUGGGGAGUACGGUCGCAAGAUUAAA
rnacentral:rRNA from 1 species